rnacentral:tRNA from 1 species
UUCAAAAUGACAGAAUAAUGUGACAGAGUUAAAGCCUGUCUAUGAGGAAACUCUUUUGAUA